rnacentral:rRNA from 1 species
UUUAGUGGCGGACGGGUGAGUAACGCGUGAGUAACCUGCCUUUCAGAGGGGGAUAACGUCUGGAAACGGACGCUAAUACCGCAUAACAUAUCGGGGUCACAUGGCCCUGAUAUCAAAGGAGCAAUCUGCUGAAAGAUGGACUCGCUGUCCGAUUAGCUAGUUGGUGAGAUAAAGGCCCACCAAGGCGACGAUCGGUAGCCGGACUGAGAGGUUGAACGGCCACAUUGGGACUGAGACACGGCCCAGACUCCUACGGGAGGCAGCAGUGGGGGAUAUUGCACAAUGGAGGAAACUCUGAUGCAGCAACGCCGCGUGAGGGAAGACGGUUUUCGGAUUGUAAACCUCUGUCCUUGGUGAAGAUAAUGACGGUAGCCAAGGAGGAAGCUCCGGCUAACUACGUGCCAGCAGCCGCGGUAAUACGUAGGGAGCAAGCGUUGUCCGGAUUUACUGGGUGUAAAGGGUGCGUAGGCGGCACUGCAAGUCAGGCGUGAAAGCCGGAGGCUUAACCUCCGAACUGCGUUUGAAACUGUGGUGCUUGAGUGAAGUAGAGGUAGGCGGAAUUCCCGGUGGACCGGUGAAAUGCGUAGAGAUCGGGAGGAACACCAGUGGCGAAGGCGGUUUACUGGGCUUUAACUGACGCUGAGGCACGAAAGCAUGGGUAGCAAACAGGAUUAGAUACCCUGGUAGUCCAUGCCGUAAACGAUGAUUACUAGGUGUGGGGGGUCUGACCCCUUCCGUGCCGGAGUUAACACAAUAAGUAAUCCACCUGGGGAGUACGGCCGCAAGGUUGAAACUCAAAGGAAUUGACGGGGGCCCGCACAAGCAGUGGAGUAUGUGGUUUAAUUCGAAGCAACGCGAAGAACCUUACCAGGUCUUGACAUCCAACUAACGAAGCAGAGAUGCAUCAGGUGCCCUUCGGGGAAAGUUGAGACAGGUGGUGCAUGGUUGUCGUCAGCUCGUGUCGUGAGAUGUUGGGUUAAGUCCCGCAACGAGCGCAACCCUUGUGAUUAAUUGCUACGCAAGAGCACUCUAAUCAGACUGCCGUUGACAAAACGGAGGAAGGUGGGGACGACGUCAAAUCAUCAUGCCCUUUAUGACCUGGGCUACACACGUACUACAAUGGCUGUUAACAAAGGGAAGCAAUACCGCGAGGUGGAGCAAAACCUAAAAAACAGUCUCAGUUCGGAUCGUAGGCUGCAACCCGCCUACGUGAAGUUGGAAUUGCUAGUAAUCGCGGAUCAUCAUGCCGCGGUGAAUACGUUCCCGGGCCUUGUACACACCGCCCGUCACACCAUGGGAGCCGGUAAUACCCGAAGUCAGUAGCCUAACCGCAAGGGAGGCGCUGCCGAAGGUAGGAUUGGCGACUGGGGUGAAGUCGUAACAAGGUAG